rnacentral:tRNA from 1 species
UUAGUAUAUUAAGAUAAAUAUUCUGUUAGUUUUCAAGGCUAAAAGUACUAAU